rnacentral:lncRNA from 1 species
UUUUUUUUUUUUUGCAUUUUGCUCCUGUUUAGGAAUAAAUUUUUGAUCUAGCCUCUGGUUAGAUUUGUUUUUGUGUUUUAAUUAGUGUUUGUCCCAAGUUAAACCUAUAGGAUCUUCUUGGAUGAUAGUUAUUUGAUCUUGCUGAAAAUUCCAGAAAUUUUCUGUUCAUGAAAACAAUUGUUUAAAAUCACCAGAACAUGAUAAAAUACUGAUUGCAAUUGCAGCAGAUCAAUAAACAAAUUAUUUAAGUCGUCCUAUUUUGGUAGAUUUUUCUGAGUUCCAGAAGUUUGCGUUAGUUACAGAUUACUACAGACUGUUCUGUUUUUGACAGAUUCUGUUUUUCGUGUGUUGUUUGCUUAUUUUGAUGAGUCUAUGGUUAGUAAAAUAGUUUAUAAACCAUAGAGAAGUUGGAAUACAGUGGGCUUAACACCAAUAUAAAUAAAGAAUGAGUUCAAUACAGUACCUUGAAGUGGUGUUUUGUUUUCUUUCGCUAACGGAGCUCAUGAGAUUUUCUGUUAAGUUUUGUGUUGUGAAGUUUUCAAGUUUUGGGUAAGGAUUUGAUGGAUUAUGGAACAAGGAGUGGCAAGAUCCUAAGCUUGGGGAUGCCCAAGGCACCCCAAGGUAAAUCUAAGGACACCAAAAAUCCAAAGCUUGGGGAUGCCCCCGAAGGCAUCCCCUCUUUCGUCUUCGUCCAUCGGUAACUUUACUUGGAGCUAUAUUUUUAUUCACCACAUGAUAUGUGUUUUGCUUGGAGCGUCUUGUAUGAUUUGAGUCUUUGCUUUGUAGUUUACCACAAUCAUCCUUGCUGUAAACACCUUUUGAGAGAGACACACAUGAUUCGGAAUUUAUUAUAAUACUCUAUGCGCUUCACUUAUAUCUUUUGAGCUAUAUAGUUUUUGCUCUAGUGCUUCACUUAUAUCUUUCAGAGCACGGCGGUGGUUCUGUUUUAUAGAAACUAUUGUUCUCUCAUGCUUCACUUAUAUCAUUUUGAGAGUCCUACAAAACAGCAGGGUAAUUUGCUUAAAUUGAUAAAUUAGUCCUAAUAUGAUAGGCAUCCAAGAUUAGUAAAAACUUUCUUAUAAGUGCGUUGAAUACUAAGAGAAGUUUGAUGCUUGAUGGUUGUUUUGAGAUAUGGAGGUAGUGAUAUUAAAGUUGUGCUAGUUGAGUAGUUGUGAAUUUGAGAAAUACUUGUGUUGAAAUUUGCAAGUCCCGUAGCAUGCACGUAUGGUAAACGUUGUGUAACAAAUUUGAAACAUGAGGUGUUCUUUGAUUGUCCUCCUUAUGAGUGGCGGUCGCGGACGAGCGAUGGUCUUUUCCUACCAAUCUAUCCCCCUAGGAGCAUGCGCGUAGUGCUUGGUUUUUGAUGACUUGUAGAUUUUUGCAAUAAGUAUGUGAGUUCUUUAUGACUAAUGUUAAGUCCAUGGAUUAUACACACUCCAACCCUUCCAUCAUUGCUAGCCUCUUCGGUACCGUGCAUUGCCCUUUCUCACCUUGAGAGUUGGUGCAAACUUCGCCGGUGCAUCCAAACCCCGUGAUACGAUACGCUCUAUCACACAUAAACCUCCUUAUAUCUUCCUCAAAACAGCCACCAUACCUACCUAUUAUGGCAUUUCCAUAGCCAUUCCGAGAUAUAUUGCCAUGCAAAUUUCCACCAUUCCGUUUAUUAUGACACGUUUCAUCAUUGGCAUAUUGCCUUGCAUGAUCAUGUAGUUGACAUCGUAUUUGUGGCAAAGCCACCAUGCAUAUUAUCAUACAUGUCACUCUUGAUUCAUUGCCCAUCCCGGUACACCGCCGGAGGCAUUCAUAUAGAGUCAUACUUUGUUCUAGUAUCGAGUUGUAAUCAUUGAGUUGUAAAUAAAUAGAAGUGUGAUGAUCAUCAUUCAUAGAGCAUUGUCCCAAAAAAAAGAAGGGACAAUGCUACUAUCCUCUUUUCCACACUUGUCCUUCAAAGUAGCACCAUGAUUUUUAUGAUAGAGAGUCUCUUGUUUUGUCACUUUCAUAUACUAGUGGGAAUUUUUCAUUAUAGAACUUGGCUUGUAUAUUCCAACAAUGGGCUUCCUCAAAUGCCCUAGGUCUUCGUGAGCAAGCAAGUUGGAUGCACACCCACUUAGUUUCUUUUGUUGAGCUUUCAUACAUUCAUAGCUCUAGUGCCCGUUGCAUGGCAAUCCCUACUCCUUGCAUUGACAUCAAUCGAUGGGCAUCUCCCUAGCUCGUUGAUUAGCCACGUCAAUGUGAGACUUUCUCCUUUUUUGUCUUCUCCACAUAACCCCCAUCAUCAUAUUCUAUUCCACCCAUAGUGCUAUAUCAAGGGCUCAUGCUCAUAUAUUGCGUGAAAGUUGAAAAAAGUUUGAGAUUACUAAAGUAUGAAACAAUUGCUUGGCUUGUCAUCGGGGUUGUGCAUGAUGAGAGCAUUCUUGUGUGACGAAAAUGGAGCAUGACCAAACUAUAUGAUUUUGUAGGGAUGAACUUUCUUUGGCCAUGUUAUUUUGAGAAGAAAAUUAUGCUAAGUAGCAUUCCACAUCAAAAAUUAUGUUUUUAUCAUUUACCUACUCGAGGACGAGUUGGAAUUAAGCUUGGGGAUGCUUGAUACCUCUCCAACGUAUCUAUAAUUUUUGAUUGUUCCAUGCUAUAUUAUAUUCUGUUUUGGAUGUUUAAUGGGUUUAUUAUACACUUCUAUAUUAUUUUUGGGACUAACCUAUUAACCGGAGGCCCAGCCCAAAUUGUUGUUUUUUCCCUAUUUCAGUGUUUCGCAGAAAAAGAAUAUCAAACGGAGUCCAAACGGAAUGAAGCCUUCGGGAACGUGAUUUUCGGAACAAGCGUGAUCCAGAGGACUUUGAGUGGAUGUCAAGCAAUCAACGAGGAGGCCACGAGGCAGGGGGCGCGCCCUCCACCCUCGUGGGCCCCUCGUAGCUCCACCGACCUACUUCUUCCGCCUAUAUAUACCUAUGUACCCCCAAACCAUCAGCGGAGGAGCCAAAACCCUAUUUCCACCGACGCAACCUUCUGUACCCAUGAGAUCCCAUCUUAGGGCCUUUUCCGGCGCUCCGUCGGAGGGGGCAUUGAUCAUGGAGGGCUUCUACAUCAACACCAUAGCCUCUCCGAUGAUGUGUGAGUAGUUUAACUCAGACCUUCGGGUCCAUAGUUAUUAGCUAGAUGGCUUCUUCUCUCUCUUUGGAUCUCAAUACAAAGUUCUCCUCGAUUCUCUUGGAGAUCUAUUUGAUGUAACUCUUCUUUUUGCGAUGUGUUUGUCGAGAUCCGAUGAAUUGUGGGUUUAUGAUCAAGAUUAUCUAUGAACAAUAUUUGAAUCGCCUCGUAAUUCUUUUAUGUAUGAUUGGUUAUCUUUGCAAGUCUCUUCGAAUUAUCAGUUUGGUUUGGCCUAUUUGAUUGAUCUUUCUUGCAAUGGGAGAAGUGCUUAGCUUUGGGUUCAAUCUUGCGGUGCUCGAUCCCAGUGACAGUAGGGGAAACGACACGUAUUGUAUUGUUGCCAUCGAGGAUAAAAAGAUGGGGUUUAUAUCAUAUUGCAUGAGUUUAUCCCUCUACAUCAUGUCAUCUUGCUUAAAGCGUUACUCUGUUCUUAUGAACUUAAUACUCUAGAUGCAUGCUGGAUAGCGGUAGAUGUGUGGAGUAAUAGUAGUAGAUGCAGGCAGGAGUCGGUCUACUUGUCACGGACGUGAGGCCUAUAUACAUGAUCAUACCUAGAUAUUCUCAUAACUAUGCUCAAUUCUAUCAAUUGCUCGACAGUAAUUCGUUUACCCAUCGUAAUACUUAUGCUAUCUUGAGAGAAGCCACUAGUGAAACCUAUGGCCCCCAGGUCUAUUUUCCAUCAUAUUAAUCUCCCGUCAACUAGCUAUUUCCUUUGUCGUUUAUUUUGCUUUCUUUAUUUUUACUCUUUACCAUAAAAAUACCAAAAAUAUUAUCUUAUCAUCUCUACCAGAUCUCACUCUCGUAAGUGACCGUGAAGGGAUUGACAACCCCUUUAUCGCGUUGGUUGCGAGGUUCUUAUUUGUUUGUGUAGGUGCGUGGAACUCGAGCGUGGUCUCCUACUGGAUUGAUACCUUGGUUCUCAAAAAUGGAGGGAAAUACUUACGCUACUUUACUGCAUCACCCUUUCCUCUUCAAGGGAAAACCAACACAGUGCUCAAGAGGUAGCACAUCUGUCCCAACGAGGAGCUGACACGUGGUUCCGUCGGCCAAUGAGAAUUUUACACGUGGAAAAUCCCCAUUGGUCCGGGCUGUUAAUGGGUUAUCGGAUCCAAAACCGCACCCAAUAGCUUAACGGCGAGCCAUUACGGUCGAUGCCAUGUGUCGGUCACCCUUGACGAAAGCACUUCUAUGACGCGCGAUUUAUCGUCAUGGAAGUGGACACUUCCGUGAUGAUAAUUUUGGUAAUGUCAUGGAACACUUCUACAACAACAUAGGUAUGACUAUCUUGAUUCUGUCAUAAAUUUGUCAUGGAUGUACAUGCAUGACAGAAAACGUGACCUACUGUGACAAACACGUAUCAUCACGGAAGUGUAUUUUUCUUGUAAGUGUACGCCUCUCUGUCCGCUGCGCUUCGCUGUUCGGCUCUCAUGGCGGACGCUGCUCCAUUGACCGGACCGACGCGCGCUUUCAGGGGAGCCGAGGGCCUCCGUGCUUUCACCCCCGCCCUGCGACGGGUGCAGUGGCCACCCAAGUUCAGACCGUUGCUGCCGCCCUGAUACGACGGCAUGGCGGAUCCAGCAAGUUUCCUUCGAGCAUACGAGGAGGCUGUUUUGGCAGCCGACAGUGACAACAAGGUGAUGGCCAACUGGCUACCCAUGGUCCUUGCGGGUGCGCCACGCGCCUGGCUCCUCGACCUGCCAGAGUCUUCGGUGGCCUCCUGGGAGGAGCUGCACGGCCUCUUCAUCGCGCGUUAUGCGGCACCGGCACCCCACGUCGUCGCAACCCUCCUCAGCGGCUCGCAGGCGCCACCCUUGGACCGACACGUCAAGUAGUUCUUUCACCAGGUGGGUGCCGCCCACGUGCUGCGGGGAGCUCCUCCGGGCUGGGCGGCGCCCAAGGCUGACCUCACCUUCGACUCGCGGGACCACCCUGCGACCAUCGCAGGCGCCGGCGCACUCCCGAUGCUCUGCUCCCCCACCAUCUGCAACGUGGCGGUCACCAAGACCCUCAUCGACGGUGGAGUCGGCCUCAAUGUGCUUUCCGUGGAGGCAUUCGGCUUGCUUCAUUUGCCCCAUGGCCGGCUCUGCCCCACCAAGCCUUUUUCUAGAGUGGUCGACGGCUCCACCUGCCUGCUGGGGCAGAUCCACCUCCCCGUCACCUUCGGCACCCGCGACAACUACCGCACCGAGCUUAUCGACUUCGACAUCGCCCGCAUCAGCCUCCCGUACAAUGCCAUCCUCGGGUACCCAGCUUUGGCCAAGUUCAUGGCAGCAACUCACCCUGCCUACAAUCUCAUGAAGAUGCCGGGAAGCAGCGGUGUCCUCACUGUUGCAGGGAACACAAAGGAAGCAUUGUUGGUCCUCAAGCUCGCCUUCAGGGCCGCGGCGGCCGCGCGGUCAAGUGAGGAAGGGACCCGAAGGCUCCGGGGGUUGUGCCAGCAAAGAAGAAGCAACUGUUCUCUCAAGAUCAUGCCACGACGAAGGAGGUGCUCGUUAAUGAAGACGGGACGUCAAGCGCCACCUUCACCAUAGGCACCGGCCUCCCCCAGAUCAAGAAGAGGCGUUGGUCAGCUUCUUACGCACGAACAAGGAUGUGUUCGCAUGGGAGCCCAAGGACCUGGUCGGAAUCAUGAGGGGAAUAAUCAAGCCUCACCUGAGGGUGUGCCCUAACGUGCACCCGAUGAAGCAGAAGGCGCGGCGGCAGUCCACAGAGAAGCAGUCGUUCAUCGUCCAAGAGACCCGCAAACUGCAAGAGGCUGGUGUCAUUCGGGAGGUGUGGUACCCAGAGUGGCUGGCAAACCCGGUUAUUGUCCCCAAGAAAGGCGGGAAGGAGCGCAUGUUCGUCGAUUUCACUGACCUUAACAAGGCUUGCCCUCAGGACCCCUUCCCGCUUCCGCGCAUCGAUCAGAUCGUCGACUCCACCGCCGAGUGUGACCUGCUGUGUUUUCUGGACGCCUUCUUGGGCUAUCACCAAAUCAAGAUGGCGGUGCAAGAUGUUGAGAAGACAGCCUUCCUGACCCCAUGCGGGGUGUAUUGCUACACCUGCAUGCCGUUUGGGUUGUGCAACGCCGGGGCAACCUUCCAGCAGCUGAUGCACAUCGCUCUGGGCCAGCAGCUUGGAAGGAACGCCGAGGCCUACGUCGAUGACAUAGUGGUGAAGUCUCGGGAGGCAAGGACCCUUAUUGCAGACCUGGAAGAAACAUUUGCCAGCCUGUGCAAGGUGGACCUGCGACUCAAUCCAGGGAAGUGUGUGUUUUUGGAGUCCCCUCCGGCAAGCUACUGGGCUUUGUAGUGUCGCACAGGGGGAUCGAGGUCAACCCAGAGAAGGUCAAGGCCAUAGAAAGGAUGAGCCCGCCACAAACCCUCAAGGAGAUGCAAAAGAUGGCGGGUUGUGUUACCUCACUGGGGCGCUUCAUCUCCAAGCUGGGAGAGCGCGCCCUCCCGUUCUUCAAGCUGAUGAAGAAGAAAGUACCGUUCGAGUGGACUCCGGAGGCUGAUGCGGCAUUCCAAGACCUCAAGAGGUACCUCACCAACCCACCGGUGAUGGUAGCGCCACGUCCCCUUGAGCCCUUGGUGCUCUACCUGGCUGCCACGCCUCACUCUGCCAGCGCAGCGCUGCUGGCAGUCUAGGAGGAGCACCUGGCCAAGGGCUUGCAGAGUGGCACCCCGCACACGAUCGAGACACAGCGGCCUCAGGACGGCGCUCCUGAGGCCUCGGCCGCCCCAACAGAUGACCAAGCUCCUCAGGACGGUGCUCCUGAGGCCUCAGCUGCCCCGACGAACGGCCAAGCUCCUGAGGUCCCCCAGUCUCAGGAGGCACAAGACCCCGCCGACACGUCCGCCCUCGUCGAGCACCCGGUGUACUUCGUCAGCACGGUGCUACGUGAUGCACAGGCAUGCUACCCCAUGCUGCAAAAGCUCUUGCUCGUGCUCCUCGUCGCCUCCCGCAAGCUGCGCCACUACUUACAGGGCCAUCCCAUCAAGGUUGUCUCAGCUUACCCACUGGAGAGGGUGCUCCAGAGCCCCAAUGCCACCGGAAGGGUUGCAGAGUGGAACAUCGAACUGCAAGCAUUUCAGUUGGAGUUCAGCACCACGUGAGUCAUCAAGGGCGCGGCCCUCACCGAUAUCGUGGCAGAAUGGACUGAUGACCCUAGCCGUGAAGUGUGCGAGGACCGUUCUCUCCUUCCCGGAGACGAGGCGCCGAGUGGAUGGGUCAUAUACUUCGACGGCGCGUUCGCGCGCCAGGGCGCGGGGGCUGGAUCAAUGCUCAUUUCGCCGGCCAAGGAAAAGAUCUACUACGCCGUGCAACUCUGUUUUCGGCACGUCGAGAAGGUCUCCAACAACAUUGCGGAGUACGAGGGCUUGAUCGCCGGACUCAAAGCCACCGCGACUCUGGGGUCAAGUGCCUCACGAUCAGGGGUGACUCCCAGCUCCUCGUCAACUUCUCCAACAAAGAGUACAAUCUGAAGGACGAGCACAUGGAAUCAUACCUUGAGGAGGUAUGCAAAAUCGAGAAACAAUUCUUGGGCCUGGAAUUGCAGCACGUACCGUGCGGCACGAACAAGGAGGCAGAUGACAUCGCCAAGAGGGCGUCUUGCCGCCUGCCUCAAGAGCCUGGAGUCUUUGAGGAGUGGCUCUUCAAGCCGUUGGCAGCCCCAUCCACCAUGGGACCAGCAUCACCUCAGGAGGAGCUCCCCCCAGCGCCCCUCUCGGGUGCCCCUGCUUGCGGUCCAACCUCGGGAGCCCGUCUGCUCCUCGCCCUCGAGCCUCAGGAGGGGUGCUGGACCGAGGAGUUUAAGGCGUACCUGCUUCAGGGGACCCUGCCGGAGAAGGAGGAAGACGCAGAACGCGUGGCUCGCCAGGCCACUACAUACUGCAUUCAAGACGGUGAGCUCUAUUAAAAACGGCCAAACGACGUCUCUCUGCGAUGCAUCUCUAGGGAGCAGGGACUCGAGCUGCUCGCUGACAUACAUGGUGGGGACUGCGGGCAUCACUCUUCAUCAAGCACCCUCGCGGGCAAGGCAUUCCGUAGCGGAUUCUACUGGCCCACGGCACUUAAUGAUGCCAUCGAGCUGGUGUCCUGUGAAGCCUGCCAAUUCCAUGCCAAGCAGAUCCACCAGCCCGCUCAGGGUCUCCCGACCAUCCCGCUCUCAUGGUCAUUUGCGUUCUGGAGGCUGGACAUCUUGGGCCCGUUCCCUCGAGCGCCCGGGGGCUACCGCUACCUCUGCGUCGCCAUCGACAAGUUCACCAAGUGGGCAGAGGUCCAGGCCGUCCGCACCAUCCCAGUCGGCUCGGCGGUCAAGUUCAUCAAGGGCCUCGUGAGCCGGUUCGGGGUUCCUAAUCGUAUCAUCACCGACAACGGCUCGCAGUUCACUACCAACCUUUUCAAAACAUAUUGUGCUAACUUUGGAACGCAGAUAUGCUACGCCUCGGUGGCACACCCCAGGAGCAAUGGCCAGGCCGAGUGCGCCAAUGCGGAGGUCCUGAGAGGCCUCAAGGUAGGAACCUUCAAGAAGAAGCUCGAGGCUUGCGGCAGGGGCUGGCUCGACGAGCUCCAGUCCAUGCUGUGGUCCAUCUACACCAACGCGACCAAGCCGACGGGCGAAACUCCAUUCUUCCUCGUCUACGAAGCUGAAGCGGUUCUCCCUCACAAGGUCAGGCAUCGCUCUGUGCGGGUAUUGGCGUUCGACUAGGCAUGCCAGGACACCUCGCGGGGCAUGGACCUCGUGCUGGGGGAGGAUCGCCGCCGCCAAGCCUCGCUCCGAGCAGCGUGGUACCAGCAGGGCUGCGGCGGUAUCACUGCGGCAGCGUCCGCUCCAGGCCGCUCGAGGUGGGUGAUCUCAUCCUAAGGCGGGUGCUCUCCAGGGAGGGGCUGCAUAAGCUCUCGCCCAUGUGGGAGGGCCAGUUCAGGAUCGCCCGUGUCUCCAGGCCUGGUGCCGCGCGCCUGGAGACGCAGGGCGGGAUGCUCAUCCAGAAUGCCUAGAACAUCCAGCACUCCGGAAGUUCUACCCAUGAAGCAAGGCCCAGUGCCUAUGAAGGUCUCCGCUCGUGAAAUUCUCACGUAAUAAUGAGUGGGGCUGUACACGCCCCGGAGUCUCCUGAGCGUCGCCCGCGGGCCUCACGGGGGCUCCCUCCCAUGUCCUAGUGGCAGCACUUAGCUCCGCGCUGGUGAGAAGACUAGUCUAGGUGCCAGACGCGGCUGUUCUUUUGCUUGCUUUCUGUACCUGGUUUGCAACUUCUUAAUGGAAUUUGGAGUUUUUUGCGUUUUCGUUCGCCAAAGUUGGAUUUUUUUCUCCUCUUGCUUCACUCGCCUCUCCAGUCUUGUUCCAGGAAGAGCGGCAGUUGCCUGUCGCUCCUCCUCAUGCAUCCCGCGCGCGGGGCUAGGUAGUGUGCGUUGUACGCUUGUGCUCGCCCGCACCACAAACAGUGCGUUGUAUGCUUGGGCUCACCCGCACCGCAAACACACCUUGCUGAAGCCCCGUUGCUCCAGAGCUUCGGCUUCCUUAAUCCACGCAAGACGCUCUCGAAUGAGCUCAUGGGCAUGCGCACCCCUUUAGGUCCGUGCCUUCGGGCAGCGCGACGCGGUGUACUAGCCCCAACCGACCCAUGCCUGGGGGCUCGCGCAAGGAGGAAUGAGAUGCCCCGGCAAGCUUUCUAAUAACUCUACAGCUCUACAAUGCCUCCCAAGGCCCAACGGCUCCUGAGUCGUCGGGAAGGGAGUUUCGCCAGAUGCUGCUGGAAGGGCGCGCCCUCGCGAGGCGCCCUCGCAAGGCGGGAAACUACUGCGAGCACUCCGGGUUAAGUUACCCUAACCACACCUACCGGGAACACAGGUAUCAUGGCGCAAUAUCAGAAUAACAAACAUAGCAUAGUGGCAUAAGUGCCACAGUUCAUUACACACCCCAGCGGGGCUCUCUACUUUUUUGCAAAUGCAGGAGAAAGGAAAGGUUAAUCAAAAGCGGGCCGCACGACUGCGACAGCUCUCGAGGCCCGACUCCAGCAACGCCUGACGCUCAGUCCGAGCCCUCCUCCCGCUUCGACGGAGCGCGGCGGCGAGAUGGCCCAUCGCCUUCCCCGAUCCGAGCCCGGCGGCGGGGUGGCUGAUCAUAGCCGCCGCUGCUGGUGCUCUUGCCCGAGGAGCAGCCGCCGCCGCUGGAGGUGGCGCGGCCAUCGCCAAGGGCAAGCUCACCCUCGUCGUCGUCGCAGCCGUCACCAAGGCCAAGCUCAUCGUCGCUGCUGCCAUCCUCGGGGCAGCACCCCGCGCGGCGGCCGUCUCCCCUGAACACCCUCACGUAGAGCGUCGUGAGGCCGUCGUAUCUGAAGUGGAGGGUGCACCUCCCGCUCAGGCCCCGCGCGCGGGCAAAUGUCUGCCAGCCGUGGACCAAGGACAAGCUGCGUGCGGUGGUGACUUCGACCCCAACCCAUGAAGCCUUGCUGCAGUAGCCGUCAGCUUGCAGCCAGAGGCCUUCAAGACCCGUGGGCGGCAGCUCCCCCGCGAAGAAGCGCGGGACUGGAAGCCAGGUGCCAGGAGGCCUCUCCGACCACACGACGAACUCUGGGAACGCGUCCGCGGAGUGGAAGCGCGGCCGGGGAGGCCGGACGACCACGGCACGCCUCCCCUCAUCGCAGGGGCUGCCCCGCCCUCAGCGGCUUCCACCGCGAGAGGAAGCGCCGCCGCGGCUGCCUAAGACGACGCCUGCCUCCGAAGGGGUGCGUCCACGCCCUCGAGGAGCCGCCGUCGGGGUCGCAGCAUACUUGCGGGGGUCUCUUAGGCGGCGGUGAACCCGGCCCCUCCUUGGGGGCCUUCCCCUUUUCGGCGACGGAGAACCUCUUCGUCGGCGCCAUGGAUGCUACGGCAAGACGGGGAGGCAAAGAAGAAGAAGGAGCGAGCAGCGAGAAGAUGGCGAUGAGCGAGGGGCGCUCCGCCUCUCAGCCUCUCCCCUCAUUUAUAGCCAGAGGGAGGUCAACCGCCGGCCUCCAUGAUCCCAUGAAAUGAUCAUUUUCCUCUGCAUGCAGCAGGCUCUUGUCAAGUCGAACGGUUGCCGAGGCAGCAUGGGGAAGCGAAGACGCCCACGUCGAAUCAACUGCCAUGCGUCGCCCAAGAUCGCAGGCGGUUAGGUCCCGCGGUGCGCCGCACUUGCCCUUUGGCUUCGCCCCGCAGCCAAGUUCGAGAGCGCCUUGUGAGGGAGUCCUGGAUUAGGGGGUCCCCGGGCGUCCGAGUUAUGUGACGUGGGCCGGACUAGUGGGCUGUGAACAUACAAGAUAGAAGGCUUUCCCCCGUGUCCGGACGGGACUCUCCUUGGCGUGGAAGGCAAGCUUGGCGCUCGGAUAUGAAGAUUCCUUUCUCUGUAAACCGACUCUGUACAACCCUAGGCCCCUUCGGUGUCUAUAUAAACCGGAGGGUUUAGUCCCUAGAGGCAAUCACAAUCUCACAGGCUAGACAUAUAGGGUUUAGCCAUUACGAUAUCGAGGUAGAUCAACUCUUAUAAUCCCUAUACUAAUCAAAGUCAAUCAAGCAGGAACUAGGGUAUUACCUCCAUUAAGAGGGCCCGAACCUGGGUAAACAUCGUGUCCCCUGCCUCCUGUUACCUUCGAUCCUCAGACGCACAGUUCGGGACCCCCUACCCGAGAUCGGCCGGUUUGGACACUGACAUUGGUGCUUUCAUUGAGAGUUCCUCUGUGCUGUCGAUAGAAGGCUCGAUGGCUUAUUCGAUCAUCUACAAUGAUACUAUUUCGGGGGAGACUUCCCCCCCCCCCCGGGCCAAAUCUUCAUAUUCGGCGGCUUCGCACUGCGUGCCAACUCGAUCGGCCACCUUGAGCAGAUCGACAGCUAUGCCCUGGUCAUCAGAUUAGUUUCGGGAACCUAAAUUUUGUCACCGAUAUUCGAGGAGACUUGAUCUUAGAAGGAUUUGCAGCCCCGGCCGACGCUCUAGCUUUAGAUCCAGAGUAGACUACCAGGUCCGAAGACGGGAGUUUAGAGCCCGCCGGACUCUCAGCAAUUAUGGAACUUGCUACUGGAGACCUGGAGGGGACGGCGUCAUCGGCAAGCCCAAAGACGAACCGAGCUCCCCUUGUCGCUAAAGUGCCGGACUCUCCCCCAGACUCUAAAUCCAAACUCUCGAGGUCCACGUCAAGUAGGCGCGGCCAUGAGGCUCUCGCCCCGGUCAGCCCUGCGGACCCUCGCUUUUCUGUCCAAACCUUGCUCCUAAACGAGGCUCUAGACUUAAUGCGAUCACUCGCCAUUAUGGAGGAAUCGCUUCCGAAUUAUGCCCAGCCCGGACUAGGGGCUGAGAGCGGGGAAUUUUACGUCCCACCCACCACCCACUUCAUAGCCACUGUCGAAGAUCUAACCGACAUGUUGGAUUACACCUCCGAAGACAUCGAUGAUAUGGACAACGAUGCCGGAGACGAACAAGGCCAAGACCCUCCGUUUACCAGACAAUGGACUGCCACCUCCACAUACGACGUGUACAUGGUGGACACACCCAAAGAUGAUGGCGAUGAUGGCAAGGAGGAUCCGGUUGAGGACAAGCCUGCUGAAGCACCUCCGAAGCAUCGACGUCAGCGGCGCCGCUCAAAGUCGCGUCGCGACAAAGACAGCAAUACCGGCACCGGAGACAAUAAUAAUCCGGAGCCGAAGACCCCAAAGCCCCUGUCAAGCCAACGUCCAAACAGGAUGAUUGGGAGGAUGGGAAAGUUAACGCCGACGACCCUGUCGGGAACGAGGACUCGGAGGAUAGUAACUAUCUACCAAUCUCCGAAGAGGAUGUGAGCCUCGGCGACGAAGACUUCAUCGUGCAUGAGGAACCCUCGAGCAAGAGCACUUUAAGCGCCAGCUAAUCGCUACUGCGAGAAGCCUGAAAAAGAAGCAGCAGCAACUUCAAGCUGAACAAGAUCUACUCAAUGAUAGAUGGACUAAUGUCAUGGCAACCGAGGAAUACGGUCUCGAACGCCCAACUAAGAGUUACCCGAAGCGCAAGCUACUACCACAAUUCGACGACGAGGCCCUUGAGCCAAUACCACCAAAGAAUAAAGCUGUUGACGGAGCUGACCGACCACCACGUGGAUAGGACAGACCGGCUACUUACGCCGAACACCAGCCCGUGCCACCUCGUCGUCGAGGCAAGGAGGCAACAGCCCCGGGCUAUACCUACGACCUACGCAAGGACCUAGACAAUAGAGAAGGUCAGACAAGAUCAAUCUACGGAUCAAGGGGACGUGCUCCAACGCGGGAGGACGGCCAUCAGGCCCAGCGCGACAGGCACAACCUCACACGGGCCGAAAACCGCAUACGGACUUCAUUCGAACUGCGCCGCGAUAUCGCCCGAUACAGAGGCGCUGCACACCCCUUAUGCUUCACUGAUGAGGUGAUGGAGCACCAGUUCCCAAAAGGGUUUAAACCCAUAAACAUUGAAUCAUAUGAUGGUACGACGGAUCCCGCAGUAUGGAUCGAAGAUUUUCUUCUCCAGAUCCACAUGGCACGCGGUGAUGAUCUCCAUGCCAUCAAAUACUCCCGCUCAAAUUAAAGGGACCAGCUCGGCACUGGUUAAAAAGCCUCCCAGAGAACUCUAUUAGCAGCUAGGAAGACUUGGAGGAUGCCUUUAGAGACAACUUUCAAGUUACCUAUGUUCGGCCACCAGACGCUGAUGACCUUAGUCACAUAGUCCAGCAACUCGGAGAAUCAGCCCGGAAACACUGGACCAGGUUCUUAAUUGAAAAGAACCAAAUUGUGGACUGUGCGGACGCCGAAUCCCUUGCGGCCUUUAAACACAGUGUCCGAGAUGAGUGGCUCUCCCGACACCUCGGCCAAGAAAAGUUGAAGUCCAUGGUAACCCUUACCGCACUUAUGACCCGCUUUUGCGUGGGAGAAGAUAGCUGGCUAGCCCGUAGAAGCAAUAGCACCAGCGACCCUGGCACCUCCGAAGUCAGGGACGGCAAUGGCAAGCCACGACACAACAAGCACAAGCGUCGAAACAAUAAUGAAGGUACCAAAGACACGGCGGUCAACGCCGGAUUCAGUGGCUCUAAAUCCGGUCAACAGAAGAAGCCAUUCAAAGGAAACAGAGAUGGUCCAUCUAGUUUGGACAGAAUACUCGAUCGCCUUGCCAGAUUCAUGGCACCCCCGAUAAGCCUGCCAAUCAUACAAAUAGAAACUGUUGGGUCUUUAAACAGGUCGGCAAGCUCAACGCCGAACACAAGGGGAAAGGGUCGCCCAGCGAGGACGAUGAUGAAGAGCCUCGCCCACCGAACACGGGGGGACAGAAGAAAUUUCCCCCCGAGGUCAAGACGGUGAACAUGAUCUACGUUACCCAUAUCCCCAAGAGGGAGCGCAAACACGCAUUAAGGGACGUCUACGCCAUAGAGCCAGUUGCCCCAAAAUUUAAUCUGUGGUCAGCUUGUCCGAUCACCAUUGAUCGCAAAGACCAUCCGACCAGUAUCCGUCAUGGGGGUUUGGCUGCAUUGGUCCUCGAUCCAAUUAUUGAUGGAUUCCACCUCACGCCAGUCCUUAUGGACGGUGGCAGCAGUCUCAAUCUGCUCUAUCAGGACACCGUCCGCAAAAUGGGCAUUGGUCCAUCAAGAGUCAAGCCUACUAAAACCACCUUUAGAGGGGUAAUACCCGGCGUAGAGGCCUGUUGCACAGGAUCCAUAAGCUGGAAGUCGUCUUCGGCUCACCGGAUAACUUCCAGAGCGAAGACCUGAUCUUCGACAUUGUCCCAUUCCGUAGUGGCUAUCACGCACUACUCGGACGAACCGCUUACGCCUGUUGCAAUGCAGUCCCACACUAUGCUUAUCUAAAGCUUAAGAUGCCUGGACCACAUGGGGUUAUAACAGUCAAUGGAAACAUGGAGCACUCCCUCCGUACAGAGGAGCAUACCGCGGCCGUCGCAGCCGAGGUGCAGGGGGCCUUGCUAAGCCGAAUACUACACUGGUAGUAAAGCCCCGGGACACUGUUAAACGAGUCUGGUCUACCCUCCAGAACGACAGUCCGGCUCCUCCAGAGCUAGAUUAGCAAUUCGGCCUCCGUCAAUGCCCCAGCCUGCUAGUGGCAUACGUACCACGCGUACAUAAUUAUGCGUUAAAAAUACCAUGGGCAAAGAUGGAGGCACGCUAAACAUAAGGUCUACGGUACGGCUCGACCCUAUCCGGACCUCCACAUUGUUCCACCUUUUUUCUUCUUGUUUUUAUUUUUCAGGUUCUCUACAACCCACAUCAAUUUCUCGCGGUAACAUGGGCCUCCUUCUAGGCCCCUUAUGCAUUCUCGAUUGUUGAUCCUCUCAAAGGAUCAUACACCAAGGCGAAAAGUGGCGCUGACGUGCGGCAGGGUGUCCAAAGGAUCUUCAAGAUCAUAUUUUUGCCUUUAGGACCUAUAUAUAGCUUUCCCUUGUCUUCGACAUGUAAAAAUAGCCGUGAUGCUUAUCGCAUCUUCUGUAUAAAUAUGUUUUGAUGUACUAAUCAGAUUAUAAUGGAAACAGUUUUUCACCCAACCCUGUUCGGUGUUGGCUUCCUUCUUUCCACUUCACGUCCAAAUUGGCAUAUACACCUUGGUACGACUUAAAUCGCCAGGGGCUCUAUUCAAGCCAUAUGUAUCUUCAAUCAUAGAAAAGUCUGAACACUCUCAGAGUACACUUCGGCGUUCCAAAUACUACAUUAUAUGCAUCGGCUCCGAAUCACGUCUUUGGUCAAUAGUUAGGUUGCCCGGAUCCUGUGCUUGCUACCUUACGUUCCGUUUUUGGCUAAGGUAGUAAAGGGAGAACUACUGCGAUUGUUUUUCCGGCUCGCCCGGUCAAGCACCUCAGUAGAGAAAGCUGAAAACUGACUGUCGUGAUGCGGCGAGAGCUGGUCAGCAAUUCGGUGACUUAUUAAAUCUCUAGCGAUUUCUUCUGUAUUACACGAAGGGCUGGCUUUUCUUUUUCAGUCACGCGUCUAAGGCAUCUAAAGUUCGAUCACCGCACGCACACCAGGGGCUAUUUUAUAACCCCAUUGUCAAACUCCUGUGGCUAAGUGAGAGUGGUAAAGCCACAUAGUCCGAUUGCCUCGUUCGUUGCAUUGACACCUCCCUUACGGACCAAGACGUUGGGUUAAUGUGUGGUCAUGUGCUGUUUCGAACACCCCCGUAGUACCUACGUGGGGGCUAAAGCCGACGACUGGCAAACUCUCAGGGAUAUAAACGGCCGCACAGGAGGCACAAUACUUUUUAAGGCAAACAACACAAAAAUAUUACACAACCUUGGUUUAUGAUACAUUGUCCGGAUAGUCCGGAUACAUUCAUUCGAACAAGAUGUCCGUUGAGCAUUGGCCCUCUAUCAAGCGGGUACCUUCCAAGACGUCUUCAAAAUAGCACUCCAGCGUACGGUGGACCUUGUCUUUGGGCGGACCUUCAACGGCCACGCUAGCGGCCUUCAUCUUGGCCCAGUGCAUCUUGACACGGGCAAAGGCCAGCCGUGCACCUUCUAUACAUGACGACCGCUUGACCGCGUCAAUACGGGGCAGUGCGUCAACAAGUUGCCGCACUAGGCCAAAAUAGCUGCUCGGAACGGGUUCGGUUGGACACAGACGGACUAUGACGUCCCUCAUGGCCGAUCCGGACAUGCUAUGCAGCUCGGCCCACCGCGCCAUCUGGUCAUUUAGCAUCGUUGGGCACUCUCGCUCCUCGAACUGUGACCAGAAUAACCCCUCCGUCGCAUGUCCCUCCUGAGCCCCGAAGAACUGCGCGGCGUCGGCGGUACUCUUCCGAAGAUCCGCAAAGACAUCUGGAGCACUCCACAAUUGCGUGAGUAAAACAUACGACUGAUUGCCGAAUUCACACUGUAGAAGAAAUGUCUUACCGGCCGCUAUUUCCUCGGCUUGUUUAAUCUCCUCGCGUGCAGCUCGGGAUUCGGCCCGCGCCUCCUCAGCCUCUUUAAGGGCCUCAGCAAGGUCGGUCACCUGGGCUUUACUUUUUUCCUCCAGGGACUUUUACUUAUUGGCGGCGUCCUUGAGCGCCUGCUCUACUUGGGUCACCCGCUCCUCGUACUGGCAGCGGACAGCCUGUUCGGACUUCAAGUCCUCGGCCGCUUUAUCAGCGGCUGCCUUGUUCGUCCUUGCCUGCUCCUUGGCCUGGGUCAGUUCACCCUGAAGGGCCUCAACCGCAACCGCGCUGCCUGCAAUUAUACACAUAGCAGCGCAUGAGCUUUGACACAAAAUUCGCACAGGAAUGAGCAAAGUGUUCUAAAACAUGCCUUGUGCCUCAUCCAAUCUCUCGUUUAUGCGUACAAGAUCCUCAUCGGCCAGCCCCAGCUUACGUUUAAGUUCGGAUACUUCGGCGGCCUGAGCGGUCGCCACUAACAGUGAAGCCUACAUUCAAGCGUAUACAAGUAUAUUAUCUCCUGUGAAAAUUAUUGAUCCUCUGUCCCCCCUUUUUAGCAAAAGGGGCGAUCAGAGUCUCACGGGCUACUAGUUAUACACAGGCAUCUUUUCAUAUGAAAAGCGGUUAGGGAUAUUACAUUGCUUACCUCGAAGCCUGUUAGCAGGCUAGUGAAGGCCUCAUCAGUCUGUUCUUGGCGGACUGAACCUUUUCAACCACCACACCCAUUAGGGUGCGGUGCUCCUCCAACAUGGAAGCACGUUGCAGUGCCUCCACCAGGGUGUUCGGCACCUCCGGAAUAGUGGAGGUUGCCGCAGUAGUUGACACCCCCUCGCUUGAAGGGGGUCCCUUAUUCGGUUCCGGAACCGUUUGGGUUUCCGGAACGAGGUUCGGCUGGGGGCCGAACUGAUCAAGGCCCCCGGUUCAUGGGGAUUGCGCCCCCAUGUUCUCGGCAGCUAAGGCAUUACCCUCUGGUGCCAUUUUGGCGGUCUCUCAUACCAAUCCGUGGCCCGGAGAGGCCAUGUGGGACAACACUUCGAUGUCAUCUGUGGCGGUUGGCGGGGAGGCUCGCGUAGGUGACUUGCUCUACAUCAUCCCCGGAUCUAAAGAAUUCCCCUCUGAUGAUUGUUGGGCGAGAUCACGGGCCGGACUGCACCAUACAAUGUGUUAAGACCGUAAUCAUAAAGACCGAACUUAUGUAAGGCAUCUUUGGAUACUUACGAUUCGGCGAGGGGCUUCGCCUGGGGCGCCACUCGGGGAUGGCUUCGGUGUCCGAAUCCGAACCGUCUGGGAGGGAUAAUUUUCCCCUUUUGGACGUCCCCGCCUCGGGGCCUUCGGAGGCCGCCCUCUUCUUCUUCCUCCCCUUCGGGGAAGGAUUGCUUUCUGCCUCCUCCUCCUCUUUGUCUUCAUCUUCCUCGGAGGAGUGAGUAUCGGUCUCUCAGGACACCAUGUCCGGAGUACCUUUGCGUUGGAGGCCGUCUUUGGCUCCUUUCUUCUUCUUCUGGACCUUUUUCUCCGGCGCUUGAUAGGGCACCGGGACCAGCAUCCUCAUUAGAAGAGGAUCUGCUGGAUUUUUGGGCAAUGGAGCUGAACAACAGAUCUGCUCUGCCUUCUUCAUCCAGCUCUGUUUUACAGGACGGAAUUAUCGGUACACCCCCUCUUUUGACUAAUGAACUAUGUUGUGUUCGGAAAGGUAGCACUUACCGGGGAGGGUGGAUGAUUGCAGUCAACGCCGAUGUCCUUGGAUGUCCCUGGCAACGACUUUUGAGUCUUGAAAAGUAGCUUCCAAAUUGCUUCGUGCGUCGUGCCGAAGAAUCGCUUCAAGGUUCAUGGCCCUUCCGGAUUGAACUCCCACAUGCGGAGAGGCCGGCGUUGGCAGGGAAGGGACCGGCGGAUGAGCAUCACCUGGAUCACAUCUGUGAGGCUAGUGUUCUUCUCUAAGAUAUUUUUGAUGUGCUUCUGCAGCAUCAGCACCUCGUCGGAUGAUCCCCAGUCCAGACCCCUGUUGGUCCAUGACGCGAGCCGAAGCGGGGGUCCUGAUCUAAAUGCAGGGGCGGCCGCCCACUUGGUGCCGCGGGGCUCAGUGAUAUAAAACCACUCCUGCUGCCAUAUCUUGACGGUGUCCACAAAGGCCCCUUUGGGCCAGAUAGCUUUGGGAAGCUUGCUCACCAUGGCACCGCCACAAUCUGCGUGUUGCCCGUCGACCACCUUCGGCUUCACAUUAAAAGUCUUGAGCCACAGGCCGAAGUGUGGAGGGAUGCGGAGGAAUGCUUCACACAUGACGAUAAACGCCGAGAUGUGGAGGAAGGAGUUCGGGGCCAGAUCAUGAAAAUCUAGCCCGUAAUAGAACAUGAGACCUCAGACAAAGGGGUGUAGGCUAAACCCUAGUCUGCGGAGAAAGUGAGGGAGGAAUACAACCCUCUCACCGGGAUCUGGAGUGGGGAUAACCUACUCUUUGGCAGGGAGUCUGUGUCUGAUUUCCGCUGUCAAAUACCUCGCCUCCCGAAGCUCCUUGAUGUCCUUCUCUGUCACGGAGGAGGCCAUCCACUUGCCUUGCGAGCCGGAUCCGGACAUGGCUGGAGUGGUUGGUGGCGAGGAGAAAAGCUUGGAACUUGGGCGUUGGAGCUCAGGGAUGGAAGGGCUGAGGAAGGAGAAAGGCAUGGGGUAAAAAGAUGGAUCCUUAUCUUCUUAUAAAGGCAGUGAAUAUCAAGCGUCCCCCCACAAGCCUUAAAACACGUGUAUUCCCAAGGGGUCAUGCGAACGGCACGGUUGGAUUACCCAAACCCGUAUUGAUGAGAAUCCCGCAAUAAGGGGACACGAUCUCUGCUUUGACAAGACGUGUCAAUGAAGACCGCACCUUGAGACGCGAAGCGGGAGGCUGAAAAACGAUUCGAAAUAAUAAUAAAGCCGGAACACAACGCCUCAUCGGAAAAGUUGUCAGAAGACAUAACCUAUUUUUUGUUUAAGUAUUAUGCCCUUGUGGUUCAAGGUUGUGACUAUUAUACAGAGCCAGAUAUAGUUUUUUUGAUCAACUACUUUGAAGUGUUCGGAGGAGGAACCCGCCUUGCAAUGCCGAAGACAAUCUGCGCGCCGGACACAUCGUCAUUGAAGCCUGGUUCAGGGGCUACUGAGGGAGUCCUGGAUUAGGGGGUCCCUGGGCGUCCGGGUUAUGUGACGUGGGCCGAACUAGUGGGAUGUGAAGAUACAAGAUAGAGGGCUCUCCCCCGUGUCCGGACGGGACUCUCGUUGGCGUGGAAGGCAAGCUUGGCGCUCGGAUAUGAAGAUUCCUUUCUCUGUAAACCGAAUCUGUACAACCCUAGGCCCCUCCGGUGUCUAUAUAAACCGGAGGGUUUAGUCCGUAGAGGCAAUCACAAUCUCACAGGCUAGACAUCUAGGGUUUAGCCAUUACGAUCUCGAGGUAGAUCAACUCUUGUAAUCCCUAUACUCACCAAAGUCAAUCAAGCAGGAAGUAGGGUAUUACCUCCAUUAAGAGGGCCCGAACCUGGGUAAACAUCGUGUCCCCUGCCGCCUGUUACCUUCGAUCCUCAGACGCACAGUUCGGGACCCCCUACCCGAGAUCGGCCGGUUUUGACACCGACACCUUGGGCCCGGGGGCUACUGUAGGCGCUCUAGGAAGAGGGGUACCCAGACUUUCCUGCAUGCGGCCCAUGGCGUGGCUACAUCGACGGCCUGGUACAGCCCACCCUCAGCAUCAAUAACCCAAUACUCUCGCGAGGGGCCAAGCCUCGCGAGGCGGACGACACCAAGACCUCCACGAGGAGCGGCCUCCUCAGGCUGGCUCCUGAGGAGCGGAGAUUUCUAUGCAAGCCUAACCUCGCGAGGAUCAAGGUGAUGUGAGCCGUGACGACCAAGGCCAGGCAGGCGCCAGCGGGCGCAGGACAGCAGUUUCCCCUUUGGUGCGAAGGAGGCAAGCGCAGGCGCGGAGUCCCGAGGAAUAAGCUAAAGGUUUCCAUUUCGGUGCAACGAGACCAAGACCGCCAGGACGGCAGGACGGAGGUCAUCACCGAGCCCACCGCGGUGUCACGGCCAGAGGCUUUGCAGGCGAAGACUACUUUUGUCAAGAUAACAUGUACUAGUUGUCUCCCUUCGAAUUUGGCCGUUGUGGGACCCUUCCCGCCUUCAUUUGGGAAGAGGACCAAGGCCACUAUAAAUAAGGCCUAGCCACCACCGUAGAGGGGGAGACCAGAUCGGAUCCAUUCCAUCCUCACACCCACCAGCUCGCUUGAGCACAAGAACACGCCUCCUCCUGAGGUUGUUCUCCCACUGUACUAUUUCAACCUCAGCCCCUCGAGGCCAAUCCACCACAAAGCAGGAGUAGGGUUUUACACCGCAAAGUGGCCCGGACCUGGGUAAACUGAUGUGUCCCGUUUCCCUCUUGUUCAUCGAGCUAGGCUAUGAGAUUGACGAGUAGGCAGACUGGGGAGGUUGAGUUCUUCACACGCACCCCAGAGUUCUAACCUCUCAAGGGUCUGCGAAACCCGAAAUCCGACACUAUGUACGAAAUAAGGAAAGCUGAGUGCUUGCCAUUCCACAAGUUGGCGAUCCUCAUUUCCUCGAUGCCUUUCAUCCCCACGGGCACAAUCUCACACUUAUUGAAGUUGAUCUUCAUGCCAUACAUCGCUUGACAGCAUAGUAGGAGACGUUUAAUACUGGUGAUGUUGUGUGAUGGUCAAGUUCAAACAUGAGGAUCGUGUUGACCUGUAGGUGCGACCCCCCCCCCCCACCCCCCCAUAAGGUGAGAAAUGACACCCUUAAGGUGGCCCUCCGGCUUCGCUUUGUCGUAGCUAAGGCAUUCAUGGCAACAUCAAACAUGUGCGAGGAGAUGGGAUCACCUUUGAGCGAGUCCUGGAUUAGGGGGUCCUCGGACAACCGGACUAUAUACUUCUGCCGGACUGUUGGACUAUGAAGAUACAAGAUUGAAGACUUCGUCCCGUGUCCGGGUGGGACUCUCCUUUGCGUGGAAGGCAAGCUUGGCAAUCCGGAUAUGUAGAUCUCCUCCCUUGUAACCGACUCUGUGUAACCCUAGCCCCAUCCAAUGUCUAUAUAAGCCAGAGGGUUUAGUCCGUAGGACAACAACGAUCAUAACCAUAGGCUAGCUUCUAGGGUUUAGCCUCUACGAUCUCGUGGUAGAUCAACUCUUGUAAUACUCAUAUCAUCAAGAUCAAUCAAGCAGGAAGUAGGGUAUUACCUCCAUCGAGAGGGCCCGAACCUGGUAAACAUCGUGUCCCCCGCCUGCUGUUACCAUCCGCCUUAGACGCACAGUUCGGGACCCCCUACCCGAGAUCCGCCGGUUUUGACACCGACAUUGGUGCUUUCAUUGAGAGUUCCACUGUGCCGUCAUCAUAAGGCUUGAUGGCUCGUCUCGUUGUCAAGGACAACAUCACCUCUGGGGGGGCCCUGGCUGUAGGCCAAACUCUUCGAAUAGGCGGCUUCGUCAUGACCGCCCGCUCAGCCAUUGCACCGACGAUGACUUCUCGGGUCAUCGAAAACAGCCUCCGCGUCGGCUCGAAAUUCGCCGAGCAGAUGGAUCCAAUGGAGCUCUCUUCCUUGAACGAGCUCUUGGAUCGCAUCGCCGCCUUGGGAGUCGCUACGGACUAUGAUCGGAUCGGGCUUAAACCCGACCAAAGGGAGAUUAACUCUCCGCCGGUCACCCAUCAGAGAGCGGUGGUGGAGGAGCAACGCAGCGAUUCUUCCUCUAUCUUGAGGACAAACUAUGUCCGGAUUCCCGAGCUCUCCGAGCCGGAUACCCGCCUAUGGGAGGACAUGGCCCGCGCUUUGAACCUAGAAUCAGACAACGGGCCAGACCUAUUGGGCAACAUCCUCGAGCCCGAACUUCUAAGAUCGGAAACUCCCCCGCCCCUGGGUCUCAGAUCGGGUCAGGGUUGGGACUUAAAUCUACCCACCCACCCAGAUAUAAGUGAUCUUUCCCACAUUAGACAAGAGCCCCAAGAGACAGUACAUCACUAUUGGGCCAGAUUCCUCCUUGUAAUGAACAAGGUCAAGGACUGUCGCGAGGAAGACGCAAUUUCGUUCUUUUGCAAAAACUGCACAGACAAGGGAAUCCUCAACGCCAUAAGUCGCUUGACAUAGCACACUUCGCUGACUUGGCGGCCAUAGUACAGAAGUACUGUGCGAUGGAAAGCGCCUGGAAAACCCAAACAAAAUUCUGGGAUCCUCCAGUUCUCACUAAACCCCCCGUCCGAACUAAAAGGGUGUACUCUCGUAAGUCACCCGAUCUAAUUAAAAAGAAACAAAAUCCCACUGCAGGGCGUGGAACUAUACUGGAGGGAUGGCUCAACGGGCCAUGCAAAAUUCACAGUACACCGGAUACCACGCCAACUCAUAGCCUUAGAGCAUGUUGGAUACUCCGGCAGGUGGCCAAGAGCGGUGAGGAUCUCCUCAUCAACAAUACCACAGAGCACCAUCCCAUGGACAAUAACAAUACAGUAUUGACAGUCUUCGAGACCUUCGCCUCAAAUAAUAGGCGUAAGCGAGCACUCCGCAGACUUGCCGAAGUCUGCCACGUGGCAGCAAUAAAUCCAUGGAGCAAUACGGCUAUAACCUUCAAUGCCAGUGACAAACCUAAAUUCCGAACAGCCCGAGCACCAGCCGCCUUGGUCCUUAGUCCAAUUGUGGACGGCUUCCGGCUUACUAAAGUGCUCAUGGACGGUGGCAGCGGAUUAAACCUCAUCUAUGAGGAGACUCUUCGAAAAAUGGAAAUAGACAGGAGCCGCAUUGAGCAAAGCAGCACGACCUUCAAAGGGAUCAUCCCUAGUCGGGAGGCACGAUGUGCAGGAAAAAUCACACUAGAUGUGGUAUUCGGCACGCCGGAGAAUUAUAGGUCCGAAGAAAUCACAUUCCAAGUGGCCCCGUUCAGUAGCGGGUACCACGCCCUUCUAGGGUGGGAGGCAUUCACGAUCUUCCAAGCUAUACCCCAUUACGGGUACAUGAAGCUCAAAAUGCCCGGGCCUAAUGGAAUCAUCACUCUAGCUAGUGCCCCGGACAUAGCACUCCGCGCCGAAAAUAAAACCGCCGCACUAGCCCUCGAGGCGUUAUCCGAAACCCUUGCAGCCGAAGAACUAACCGCGCUGCGCUCCACGGUGGACAGGGACGACAUGAUACUCAACAAAAGACCCAAGUCCACCUCUUUUAAACCAGCGGACGAAAUAGUCAAUUUCCAAGUCCACCCAACGGUCCCUACAAAAACAACAUCCAUCGGGGCACAGUUAAACCCCACAGUAGACGCCGCACUACGGGAGUUCUUGCGCGAGAAUUGGGACAUCUUCGCCUGGCAUCCUUCAGACAUGCAAGGAAUCCCACGCAGGCUCGCCGAGCAUAGCCUCAACAUUCUAAAGGGGUUCAAGCUAGUCAAGCAAACUCUUCGGUGUUUCUCUGAGCCUGAGCGACAAGCCAUGGGAGAGGAGCUAGCCAAGUUACUUGAGGCCAGAUUCAUUCGAAAAAUAAAACAUCCGGACUGGCUAGCAAACCUGGUGAUGGUACCAAAGAAGGACAAAUACUGGUGCCUAUGUGUCGAUUUCAAGGACCUUAACAAGGCUUGCCCCAAGGAUCCCUUCCCCCUCCCUCGCAUCGAUCAAAUUAUCGACGCUACUGCGGGACACGACUCAUUGUGUUUCCUCGACGCAUACUCCGGAUACCGUCAAAUUAAGAUGGCAGAGUCCGAUCAAGCCGCAACGACAUUUAUCACUCCAUACGGCCCCUUCUGUUUCAACACCAUGCCCUUCGGGCUCAAAAACGCCGGUGCAACCUAUCAACGCAUGAUUCAGACAUGCCUGGAAACACAAAUCGGCAAGACAGUGGAGGCAUACGUAGAUGACGUGGUCAUCAAAACCAGACACGUCGAAUCCUUAAUAGACGACUUGAGGCUCAUGUUCGACAAUCUUCGAACAUACGACAUCAAGCUCAAUCCGGAAAAAUGCGUUUUCAGCGUGCCCGCCAGAAAGCUCCUGGGCUUCAUCGUCUCCAGUAGAGGAAUUGAAGCAAAUCCGAGCUCUGUCACAGUUGGCCAUCCCAACAGACCUCAAGCAAAUCCAGAAAUUAACUGGAUGCGUGGCUGCCUUAAGCCGCUUUAUCUCCCGAUUAGGAGAAAAGGCACUACCCCUUUAUCGCCUUCUUCCGCACCGAACACUUCGAGUGGACGGAUGCGGCCACGGCCGGAUUGGAAGAAAUAAAAGCCAUCCUGGCCACCAACCAAUCUUGGCCGCGCCAAAUGUCGGGCGAACCAAUGCUGUUAUAUAUAGCGGCAACACACCAAGUUGUAAGCGCAGUGCUCGUCGUCGAAUGAGAGACGGAAGGACAUAAGUUCCCGCUUCAAAAGUCGGUAUACUACAUAUCCACUGUCCUCACUCCAUGCAAAUCACGGUACCCACAUUAUCAAAAGAUAGCAUACGCGGUCUUCAUGGCAUCCCGGAAACCACGACACUACUUUCAAGAGUGUUCAAUUACGGUGGCCUCUGAAGUACCACUCAACGACAUAAUAAACAACCGCGAUGCCACGGGCCGGAUUGCCAAAUGGGCUAUUGAGCUCCUCCCGUUCGACAUAAUAUACAAACCACGGCGAGCCAUUAAGUCACAAGUACUGGCUGAUUUCGUCGCCGAAUGGACAGAAGCCGAACUCCCUAGAGAGUACAGCGCAUACUCCAAUUGGAUCAUGCAUUUUGACGGCUCUAAAAUGUUGGCUGGUCUGGGGGAUGGUGUCGUCCUGACAUCCCCCACCGGAGACACAGUCCAAUACGUACUCCAAAUACUAUACACAGACUCCAACAAUGCAGCAGAAUAUGAGGCCCUGUUACAUGGUCUCCGAAUGGCAGUCUCCAUGGGCAUUCAACGCCUAGAGGUGCGUGGGGAUUCGAACCUCGCAAUAUCUCAAAUAAAUGGAGACUUCGACGCCAAGGAUCCGAAAAUGGCGGAUUACCGCAACGCCGUCCUCAAGAUGUCAGCUCGGUUCGAGGGGCUUGAUUUCCACCAUGUGGUCCGGGAAAACAAUCAGGCGGCGGAUAUCCUCGCCCGCAUCGGCGCUAAGCGCGACCCUGUCCCACCUAAUAUCUUCUUGGAAAGGCUGUUUAAGCCAUCCGUGGUAUGGGAAGAGAGACCGGCAACAAUAGUCCGGACCUGGCCACAACGCCAGAUCCCGAACACUCUAACGUAAUCGGAGGCUCAGCCACCGAAAUAACACCUUCGGCCCACGUGAUUAUGGUCGUCAUCGCCCCGUGGACUGAACCCUUCUUGGCUUACCUAACUAGGCAAAAACUCCCCAAGGACCCAAACGAGGCACGUUGCAUUGUGCGGCGGUCUAAAGCCUACAAGGUCCACGAGGGAGAGCUUUAUAAGAAAAGCGCUACCGGAGUACUUCAAAGGUGCAUCUCCGAAGAGGAAGGACGGUAGCUAUUGGCAGAAAUUCAUGCUGGACUUGGCGGCCAUCACGCCGCAGCCCGGGCCCUUGUAGCAAGGCCUUCCGAACAGGUUUUUACUGGCCGACGGCCCGAGCAGACGCACAGGACCUCGUUCAACGUUGCGUCGGCUGCCAGCUUUUUGCAAACCAAAGCCAUAUGCCACCUACCGCUCUCCAAACAAUCCCCAUUACUUGGCCCUUUGCGGACUGGGGGCUUGAUAUGGUCAGACCCCUUAAAGGGGGAAGCCAUAAGAAAAAAUACCUAUUGGUCAUGGUGGAUAAAUUCACCAAAUGGAUAGAAGCCAAACCAGUUAAAACGGCCGAAUCCGGACCAGUGAUAGACUUCAUAUCCGGGGUUGUACACCGUUACGGCGUCCCCCACAGCAUCAUCACCGAUAACGGCUUGAACUUUACAGCCGAAGAGGUAAAAACUUGGUGCAGCAACAUGGGCAUUAAGCUUGAUUAUGCCUCCGUCUAUCACCCCCAAACAAACGGUCAGGUCGAAUGGGCAAAUGGUCUUAUCAUGAGCGGCAUUAAACCCAGAUUAGUGCAAUCCUUAAAGGAAUCAGAUACGCACUGGGUAGAGGAGCUCGACUCCGUACUAUGGGGGCUGCGGACCACGCCAAAUCGCACUGCCGGAUACACACCAUUUUUCAUGGUGUACGGCGCAGAGGCGGUACUGCCCUGCGACAUCAUUCAUGACUCACCUCGAGUGCGCAUGUACGAAGAGAAAGAAGCCGAGCUUGAUCGGCAGGACAGUUUGGACGCCCUGGAGGAGGAGCGUGACGUGGCAAAAGCCCGCUCCGCAUUCUAUCAGCAACAGGCUCGACGGUAUCAAAGCAGAGAAGUACGGGCCAAAACUUAUAAUGUUGGCGAACUAGUUCUACGCCUACCAGAGAAGAAAAAGAACAAACUCGAGCCCAAAUGGGAAGGUCCCUUCGUUAUCGACCAAGUUCUGACCGGUGGAGCGUACCGUCUGCGGGAUGCAUCGGACAAUCGACUCGAGCCAAACCCAUGGAAUGCAGCCAGACUCCAAAGGUUCUACGCCUAGCUCCGGACUAUGUGUUCGUCUCCUUACCUCCAUCAAUUUUUUUUAUAUCAGCUAUCUGUCUUUUCUUUCUUUCUUUCUUCCCUUUUUUCUUCACAGCCUUACAAGGUUAAAAUGUGUCUUGACUACACAAUCUUGACGCGCUAGGCGUGCUCAUUAUACCUGGGGGCUUAUUAUACAGAAGCUUAAUAUAAUUAUGUUCCGGGCUUUAUGUCCUCCAGCUCUUGAGACAACUGGGUAUUCUUCUCCGUAAGAACCUACACAAAUAAUGAUCCUUAAAUCAGUUGUGUCAACUGUUUCAAGUCUCAGGGGCUACUGAUAUACAUAAUUAUUAGAUUUUCUUACUCGUAUAUCCUUUACAUACUGGUCCGUGGCUCUGGCAAGACCAUUUUGAGCAACUCGGAUGUACGCGUCUCCUGAGUUGAAGGCAUCGAACGCCUCUUGGGAGAAACAAGCGUCUCGGAGUACGGCCCGACGACGCCUGUGAUUCAUGGCGCUCUCCACUUCGGAAUUCGUAGCGGACAGCCUAUUCGCAUCCUCUGUAGGAGGAACAUCCGGUGUUGGCCCCAUGUUAGCGUCCGCCUCUAAGUCCAGCUCUGGAGCCCGACUGGUGGAGGCGUGGCCGGCAACCUCUCCGGAUAUAGUCCGGCGAGCAUUUUUCCUACUAGGAAACAUGGGCGUUAUUAUAUUUUAAAAGACGACGACCACGGAGCGGGGUUCUUUUUCAUACCUCUGCGACGGCGUCUCAAUCCUGACCGCCUUCCUUUUAAGCCUACCUGGCUUCGGUGCCCCUUGUUGGUGACUCAUUGCGGGUUCGGCAUGGCGACCCGAGGGCCUUCCCUGUAAGACACCAUAUGUGUGCAGUAGGUGAAGUGCAGAAAAAGGGAUCCUUCUUGGAAGUUGGGACUCCGGUUUUACUUACAUGCGAUGCAGGGAGUAGUCCAGGAUAAUCAGCUACGAUGGCCACCAUGGCACCUUCGCAGCUUAAUUGAUAGAACGUCCUGUCAAUAAGCUCCACAAAUGUGUCCGGAUCUUCUUCGAGUCCGAGGUCGAGGGCCCGGUCAGGGUUCUCUGGUUGUGGAGGCGGGAUGUGGACCUCCCUCACAGCUUUUCGCAGUUCCUGCUAUGAAAUGGCAAGGUAAAUACUUAUGACGAAGAAUGCGGGAAGGUUUGGAGUAAAAAGUAGCAGCUCACCCAGCUUGGGGGGUUGUACAUGGAGAAUCCAUCCCGUGGCUUGAUGCGGAUGAACUCCUCUUCCUCCCUUUAUACAAUUCGGGCAGUAUUUUCGCUAGAGCAGUGACGGAGUCCGGACCUUUACGAUCGCAGCGGGUGGCAUCGUCUUCUCCAUUGAAGUGCCACAUGGGUUGUCCCCGAUAUUGAAGUGGCUGCACUCCCCGCAUUAUACGUAUUGACAUAACCUCGAUUAUUGUCAAUCCUGAUUUGGCCAGCGUUCGUAUCCGGCCCAUCAGGUAGAGAACCUCUCUGUUAUCUUCCUCCUGGGGGCUCCGAGGGCGCCAGCUGUGGCGUUUCUUCAAAGGGGCGUUAUUAAACUCGGGAAGGCCCAUCCGAACAGGGUCCGGAAGGGGGACGUCCUCCAUAUAAAACCACUCCGAAGGCCAGUCUUCGGAUGUCUUCUUCGGAGUACCGGACAGGUAUCCGGUCCCGGCGAUGCGCCAUAUUUCGGCUCCGCGCACUUGAUAUAUUGACCCCUCCUGUGUACGGGGUACGAGGCAGAAUAGCCUCUUCCAUAGCUCGAAAUGAGCUUCGCAGCCCAAAAACAGCUCGCAAAGGGCAACAUAGCCAGCGAUGUGUUAUAUGGAGGCGGGAGUAAAAUUAUGCAGCUGGAGGCCGUAGAACUCCAGGAGCCCGCGGAGGAACGGAUGGAUUGGAAAUCCAAGUCCCCUUAAUAAGUAAGGGACAAGGCAUACCCGCUCCCCCAUAGAUGGGUUGGGAAAGCUCUCCGCUUUCUCCCCGCCAUUAUAAGUGGCUAGUCCGGCUCGAACGGGGACCAUAUACGCUGGAGGGAGGAAUCCCUGGGUCUGUAACUCUACUAACUGCCUGUGAGGGACGGAACACUUCUUCCAAUUGCCUGGCUUAGGGCUACGGGAGCGAGAGGAGGAGCUGCGAUGGCCGGCCAUGAUGGGAUGGACUUUUCCGGGCGCGCUCCGAUGGAUACUCGCUGUGGGAGGACGGUGUGAUCUGGAUCUGAGGAUCCCCGCCUCUUUAAAUAGACGAUUUACUUACAUGGUUAGGGUGGCAAGUGUAAAAAUGCCCUGACUUCUCGCAUUCGCUCGACACGUGGAGGAUAGCCAUUAUUAGGCGCAGAAGCCAAGAAGUGCGACAUUCAUGGGAAGCCGGACACUACUCGACAGGUACUCGGAAUUUGGAGAAGAACCCGCCUUGCAAUGCCAAAGACAACCUGCGCGUCAGACUCAUCGUCAUUGAAGCCUGGUUCGGGGGCUACUGAGCUAGGGAGUCCUGGAUUAGGGGGUCCUCGGACAGCCGGACUAUAUACUUCUGCCGGACUGUUGGACUAUGAAGAUACAAGAUUGAAGACUUCGUCUCGUGUCCGGGUGGGACUCUCCUUUGCGUGGAAGGCAAGCUUGGCAAUCCGGAUAUGUAGAUCUCCUCCCUUGUAACCGACUCUGUGUAACCCUGGCCCCCUCCGGUGUCUAUAUAAGCCGGAGGGUUUAGUCCAUAGGACAACAACAAUCAUAACCAUAGGCUAGCUUCUAGGGUUUAGCCUCUACGAUCUCGUGGUAGAUCAACUCUUGUAAUACUCAUAUCAUCAAGAUUAAUCAAGCAGGAAGUAGGGUAUUACCUCCAUCGAGAGGGCCUGAACCUGGGUAAACAUCGUGUCCCCCGCCUCCUGUUACCAUCCGCCUUAGACGCACAGUUCGGGACCCCUUACCCGAGAUCCGCCGGUUUUGACACCGACAACCUUGUCUAAGAUCCAUAUUCUUCCUAAAGAAAGGGUUGACGUCCUCAUUGAAACAGAUUGCAGUCUUCCUACCUAAGACAUGUUGCAUCAUGUGAUGCACGCAAAGCAACAUGAAAACCUAACAGAUCAACACCUAGGGAAGGAAAGGCCAAUUAACCUGGCCAUAGGCAUUUUCAAAAUCAAGUUUCCUUGUGUUUUAAACUUUGACUCCGUUAAUCACCUCCCUUGGAGAAUGCACCUAUCCUAAAUAAAAAGCAGAUUGACAUCGGUUCACAAUGUGUUGGGCAACCGGGCUGAGUCUUAUAGGUCUACAGCUGGACCCCUAUUUCCUCCCUAAACGUCCGCAACGAUCGCCUGGUCAAUGCUCGGUCAAAAAAGUUGACCCAGACCCUCACUUAGUCCCUAUACGCCUGGAGUGACCGGCACCCCUCAAACUUGCGCCAAAUGUAGGGACGAUAUGAGGGCAACCGGACGCGACCGGGCACCCCUCUCCAGGUCAUAGCGGUCCCACCUACAGCCACCCGAAGCUCCUUCCAGGUCAAGACAGAGGCACCCAAAUUUAGUCCACCUCGCCGCGCGAGGCGGAUGCUGACCGGCUUAAAUUGCCGCGUCGGCGGAUGGCGCCAAGCUUCUCUCUGUUGCAUAGGUCGAUCAAUUAUUGCUGUGUGAACGAGGUAGCUUGACACUAGAUGGCAUUUCAUCAACUCAUGAUUGGUCAUCGGGUGUCAUGUUCAUCUCAUUCAUAUAUGUCCCUACUACAAUGAAAGUGAUUUUAAAAUUGUUCAUCGGAUUUUAUAUUGGCCUACAACCUUGCACCGUUCGACACAUUGUGAUUCAUAAAAUGUCGUGCAAACAUGAAUGUUCCGUUUGUGAAGGAGAUAGACCAUGAGUAUUGAUCUUCUCUGUGAUGAGCAGAGAAGAUUAAUAGUGAUAGUCCAUCUCCUUAACAAAGAAUGUAUUGAUUACUGAAGCUUAUCGCUUCUGAACUACCCGGCUAGUCGACUAGCUCCUCAUGCGGCGAGGUGGGACAAAAACAUCUGAAACUAGCCGGCCCAAUACGGAUGUGAAAAUCUUAGUACGAGUAAUUUACUAUUCGGUGUUUUUUGAAAGUCCCGCCAGCCCAACGUCGGCAACAUCCAAAAUGAUCGGCGUGCAUGUGUUUGCAUGCAUUAGCUGUUUUGAAAAUAUGCUUUGUGGUUGCAUAUGGUAAAAUUUGAGGCCCAUCUGUUCACUGUCCGCGGGUGUGUCCGCAUACAUUUUAGGGGUCAUAUUUGCAGGUUGCGGCCGUAGAUGCUCUUAAGGCGAAAACUUUAAUAACCAGUUUGAAAACCACGUUAACGAGGGCAAUUGGUCUAAAAUUGAGCCUCAUUGCAAUAAAAUGAACCCUUUUUUUGGGCGAACCAAGAAAAGUUUCUCUUUUUGGCAGUGAGUUCAUCUUGUUAAUUAAAUGAAGAGUUAAAUACAUCACAUGUGCCUCAACUUGUCGGGCACGGUCACUUUGAUGCCUAAACUUGUAAAAUACACGAAACUGAUGCCGUAACUUGUCUAAGCGUUCAAAUACGAUGUCUCUGCCUUUAUUAGGGUGUAUGCACUGUCCACAUGGCGUGCUAACAUGGCAUUGGCCCACAUGUCAAUGGUUGAGAGAGAAGUGUGAUGGUUAUUUUACAGAAAACUCUUUGUAGUUUAAAGAAAUUUUACAGAAAACCCGUCACACUUUAUUUAAAUACCCCAAACUGCAUUGAUCCUACUUAUCAGAUCUGGGUCCUGCAUGUCAGGCUGUUGGAUGAAAUAGUAGUAAGAAGAAAAAUAGGGCGAGUUGGCAGGAAUCAAACCCAGUUACUAGCCGCACAGCAUGUGCACAUGUGCCAACACCUAUGCCACGAAUGGUUGUCUGUUUAGUACAAAGAUAAUCACCUAUUUAUAAUAACGACAACCAUACCGGGCGAAAUAAUAAAGAGAAAUUUCUAAAAAGGAAAAGUUGACUCGCGGGAAAUUGAUAAAAUAUUAAGAAAUUCUCACGAAAAAGAGAGAACUAUUCAACAUAUUACCUGUCAUAAUAAACUUAAGAAAUAUUUUUGGAAAAAUCCAUUAAGAAAUUGUAAACGUGUUUUGAAAAAUGUUUGUCAGGCAUUCAAAAAAUAAGAAAUAUAUUUCAUAAAAUGUUCAAGUUGUAUUAAAAAUUUAUUGUGUAAAUUAUUCUUACUUUUCUACAAACAUGUUUUACACACAUUUAAAGAAUUUAUUUUUGUUACACAAUGAUUUUUAAUACACAUUGAACAGUUUUCAAAAUACAACAUUGUUGAUUUUUAAUCAUUAUGUAUUCUAAAUAUACAAUGAAGAAACACAAUAACUAUGCAUUCUUGUGGUCCUGAAUGAAAAUAAAAAAAUACACAAUAUUUUAUAAUAUACCUUGAAGUGUUUAAAUCCACAAAAGAAUUAGAAAAUGUUCAUGUUCACGUCUUCGAACUACACAAUAAUAAAAAUAGGAUAAGAUUUAAAUAUACAAUAAUCGAAUAUUAAUAAUUAUCGUAUUUUUAUAUAGGAAAAUUUACAUAUCAUAAAAACCAAACAAUAACUUGAAAAAAUACAAUGAAAAUUGCAGAGCGAGAGGUAGACUAUAUAGGUUUCCAACUUACAGUUUUUUGCAAAGUACUGUUAGUCCAGAUUGUUAGCGUGCGUGCCAUUAAAGGUGGAGGUCCCAAGUUCGAAACCCAUUCAAUGGAGCAGUUUUUUUUCCUGUUAUUAGCACAUAGAGAAAUGGCUUAAUCGUGGCAUCUAAUUAGACCUUAGGGGGUUUCUGCAAAAAGAACAUUCACCUAGCGCAGACGAUGCUCACAUCCACUGACAUCUGGGCCCGCCGCCAGUUGUCACACCACGUGGACAACGCAUACGUGCGGAGGCACCAUAUAUGCACCGUGCGACAAGUUAUAGCACCACUUUUAUGUAUUUUACAAGUUUGGGCACUAAACUGGCCGUAACGGACAAGUUAAGGUACCAGUAAUGUAUUUGACUCUUAAAUGAACCAUAGUUCCAUACAGUGAGUUCAUCAUUGGAGCCAAAGAAAAAUUAUCUCGUGGCUACAACUUCUGCAAUUUCCACUUUCCGUUUUGUAACUAAUAACAAAUAAAUAUCCCAGUUAUAUAUAUGUAUACGCCAUGAGUAGUUUCUACUCAGUGGCAUUAAACCAGCAAACAUGGCAGAGCCAGGUCGAGGAAAGGCUGAAGGCAGCACCUACUUCCCUCUCCUCACAAACCCAGCGCCGCACCCGAUUCUUGCACCGGAUCACUGUACGUAUCCCCUUUUCCAGCUUGAAUCUUCUCCCUGUUCCAUUACCGUCAUUCCACUACGCCACAGCCUCGUAGGAAGCUGUCCGAGUUAUUCAAGUGCCCGAGCCACAGCUCCCGCAGCUCCGGGAACGCCACCUCCAGCCACGGCUUCCGCGGCCCGCUGAAAUGCAGGACGGCGGAGAGCUGCAGCAGCUCGGCGUCGGGCAUGCGCCAGCCGAGGUCCGGCAGGUGCCACAGCGGCUCGAUCGCCUGCACCCGGCCGUCGAACGCUAUCAGAGCCGGCGGCAGCGAUCCCAUCUUCCACAGCCUGAACCCCGAUUCGCGGUUCUGCACGCACCCGACACAAGAAAUUAAUGAACCUUGUCACUUCUCACUUGUCUUGUCGGUAGAGUUGAUUGCUCGAUCGUGGUAGGAAAAUGGUGAGAGUUCAGGGAAAGGAGGGCUUGCCUUUUGCAGCCAUAGCUGGUACGUCUCGGUGACGUUCGCUCCUCGCCAAGCGUCGAGGUCGACGAUGGUGGCGCCCCAAGACCACGUGCAGUUCGAACCGUCGAGGCCUAGCGACGACACUGCAGGGUCAGAGAAGUUGAGGUGCUCGCUGAGCGUCCUCUCGAUGCAGAUGCCACCGUCUGCGCCGGGCCGGUGCGCGCCGACCGCGCCCAUGAUGUUCCCGUCCAGAUCCUGCUCCCACAGCCCGGCCAGAUCCUUGCGCACCAAGACGUCGUCGUCGAGCAGUAUCACCCUCGGGAGCUCCGGGAAGAACUGCACAGGAUGGUAAACACACCAGAUGCCAAUUGUUACUCACCAUUUCUCCCAUCGACGCUAGUAAUACAGUGUCUUCCUGUUCUUUUGGUUUACCUCUGGGAGAUGGAUUUUGAGAUAGUUGAGGAUCGAAAACGUGCUUGGCUUGGUGGCCUCAAGCCUUCUGUACUCCCUCUCCACCGAUCCAUCACACAGCUGGUGGUAAUCCAGCGAGCUCUUCUGGACCUCGUCGAUGGUCCUCAUGACAGAGGCGAUGGCAUCGCCGUCGCGCCAGUCGAACUGGUGGAGGCCCUUGACCUCGACGACCGCCGGAGAGACCGGGUGCAGCGCGAACCACGAGUGCAUCGGGACGUAGCUCUUCUUGUCGGUGACGACGUGGAACACGAGCCUCGACGGACCGGCCGAGCUCCGGACGGCAGACGCCACGGCGACGGCGGCCGCAAGAACGUUGUCGGUGACGAGGCAGACGUGGAUGCGAGAGGCGUCGGUGAGGCGAGGGGCGUACUGCGGCAACGGUACCGGGGAGCGGGCCGCGGAGUUCACCGCGAACUCCUCGGCCAGCCGCAGCGCCAGGCAGUGCAUGCUCUUGGGGAUGCCGAGCGAGGCCAGGUGCCGGUUGAACAGAGUUCGGAUUCUUGACGACUUGAGCUUCCGGUCCAUCUUUAGCAGCUGGUUCAAAUCACACGCACCAGAAAUUCAGAACGAAUGAAUGAUUACAGGUUUGCAUGUUUGACAAAUCGAGGCGAGUGUCCCUGCAUGACCAUGCAGAUGAAAGCACCAGAUCAUAUCUCUAGGCCAGAGAAGGCAUGAGCAGGGGACAACACAGGGAGCAUAUGAUGAGGCCUUUCCGCGGGGAAAGCACUUUGGUUGCUGAAUUCAGCUAAGGUGGCAGUAACAUGCAGCUGCAGGCAUGCUACCGAAAAACCGCUAAAAGUUGAGCAAGGAUUUUCGGGAGAAAGUGUCAAAGUGCUUGUAAAUUUGACGUACGUACCAUGGCCAUUAUCUUGACCACCACGGCCUCCAUGUCAAGCCGAUCAUAGGACGCCAGAAUGGUGUCCAUCUCCACCAUGAGAUCGUCCAAGGAAUCUGGUGCCGCUUCCACCACCACGGGGUCCAACAGGGUAGCUACCCUGUGGCUUCUCUUCCACUCUUUCAUAAAUUCCUGAUUAUUCCAUUCAUCAAAAUUGACAGUCAUUUUAUCAGUAAAAAGUACUACUAGUAAGAAGCAUCAUGUGUGUUCUGCGCAUGAAAACAAAGAUCUACUGUAUGAGCAUGCAUGCAUGCAUGGAUCAUGGAUGGCUAAAGGACCACAACUCCACAACCACAAGGCCGCAACUGCUUGGAAAAGAGCAAACGCACGUAUAGUUCCAAACACAAAGGAUCAAAGGUCUUGUCGGAUGAGCAUUUCCACGCUGGACUGCAGGCCACUAGUAGAGAAUCCGAGCGAGCAAGUCGCCUCAUUCACAAGAAGAAAGUCACAAGGGUUUUGUACAUAUCCAUAGCGGCUCGCAACAAAAUAAACCCAGCACACCAACUGGUCGGACCCGCCAGGCCGGAAUAAUGCAGGCACGUACGUACGAAUCUACCACUAUGCAGAGUUUCGUCCUCCUCGUCAAAUUAGGCAGUUUUUCUGGUACAAAUUGACCAGAAAAAGUUGCCAAUCCAUGACCGUUUCACGUAGUACCAGCUCCACUUUUGAAGAACACAGGCCCCGAACGCCGCACAGUAUGAGCAAAAGUGUUUGACCACGGUCGGACUUUACUUUUUUUAGGCGACUUCGGUCGGACUUGGAUUAGAUGGAGAUGGAUUGGUCACACAACUCAACUUACACACCGGCUAAACGGCCUAUUUAAUUUAUUUAUUUAUUUUCGGAUGUAUAAUAAAACCGCAGGGCACCGCAGAACAUGCGCAUUGAAUACGACUAGUAGCUCAACCGGGGCGUCAACCGUGGAGCUCUGGCAGUCCAAAGUACAGUGCCCGGAUGAGACCGGGCGAUGGGCUCACGGCCCCGCCCGUCAGCGGGUCGGGCACGGCCACGUGGUGGAGGCCACGGUCGAGCGCAGCGACGUGUUGCCGACCUGGCCUGCCCCUAAACAUUCCCGUUCCCGUGAACGACGCUUUACUGACAGGGAGCAGAAGCGCGUGAGAAUCUCCGUGCCCAUCCACCACCCAUUUCCGCCACGCCGCCGCAGGUAAAAAAGAUGUCAAAGCUCACGUAGAAGUAGAAAGCCCGACGCCUAACUUAUUACGCGGCCUGCCAAAGUCCAAACACAUUUUGACGCGCACGAUCGGACACUGGCCUAACACACUACACUGGUAGUACUGUAGAAGCCAGGUCGGCCGGACUCACCUCCGUCGCGUCGCCGCCGCCGCCGUAGAGCCAGCGCCCGAGCCCCGCGCUCCAGUCCGAGCAACCUGAGGCACUCACACACGGGAAUGGGGGAGUAAGUAACCGGUGUACACGCCACAAAUCACCGACGAGGAAGGGGAAUAUGGGCUGCGAACGAGCUUAGUUACCGGUGGCGGAAGGGCAGAGGGAGGCGCCGGUCUCGAUGGCGAGGAGCGCGGCGCGGAAGAGGAGAACGCCGGCCAGGAGCCCCGUGACCACAACGGAACGGUAACCUCGCCGCGCCGCCUGCAGCUGCUGCGGCGCCUUCGGCUUCGUCGCGUCGUCGUCGGCGGCCGCCGCCGUGAUGUACAGCCUCAUUGCCUACAAUCCCCCUCGCGCGAGGCCGCCGACUCGCCGCCGCUCAUGAACGGGCGAGGCUACGCGAGCCCACGCUCCAGCUCGAGGAACAGUGCGGGGCCGUGGAGUCUGUAUGCGCGUGGCGGUGUGGGAACGCGGGGAGGGGGAAAGAGAGGUGCGUGGCGCGGGGAGUUAUAGGCAUCAGCGAGGGAGAGUGAGACGAGCUAGCCAGUGCCAGUGAGAGAGAGUGGGAGGGAGGUGGCGAACCGAGCCGAGCGGCUCCGCGCCGGGCGCGUACGUAUGUGGAAGUGGUAGAGCAGCGCGGGAGGGCGAUGGGAUCCGCCGGACGGGGGAAGAGAGCGACCUGAAACGCGGGGAGAGGACACCGACAGUGGCUGACGGUGACGCGCGGGGCCCCGGAGGCUUGUAGACUGGCUGUGGCUGGCCCGUGGGGGCAGGCAUCGGGGCGCUGGUGUGGCUUAUCCGGUGGUGCUGCAUGCCGCGUCGCGCUCGCAGGUCGCAUGCCGCUCGUUAGAUUUAGCUCUCGCAUUAUGUGCUUUGUCUGGUUACUGGUUGAGCACACGUACUAUACGGAUGGUAUCUCCAUGUGACUGGCUUCUGACUCUUGUGGAAUCUCUUCGCCGAUCUGCUGCCAUCCUGCCCGGUAAAAAUGGCAGUCCUGUCCCGUUGGAAUACGGGUAGAGGGUACACGGGCACAAAGUAAAAAUUUCCUACCACGUAGAUUAUGAUGAUGCCAAUGUGGCAUAUCACGAGAUUUUCGCGGGGAGCAUAGACUCGUGCGAUAGACCUGGGUAUGGACAGCCCGGCCCAAAAACCUGGGCCGGGUCGGGCUUUGCAUUCGGGCCUCAUUUUUCAGCCCAAAAGAUAGUUUGGGUUUCGGGCUUAUCUUUUUCAUGAUUUCAGGAGAAUUUUCGGGCUUUGGGCUAGGCCUGCAUGUGGAGAUACAGAAAAGUGUCGUUCGAGCCGAGCUUCGGGCUUGUAAAAGGAGUGAUUCGAACUUCAUGACGGGCUUGGAGAUUGAAGGUCAGGCUAUUGCAGGCCCGUCUCGAAGCUUGGCCCGACCUGGCCAAUGAUCAAGUUUAUCGUGCGAAUGCAGAUUAAGUCUAGCGUGUUGAUGCAAUUAAGGCACCACUAAGCUAGAAGGAAAUGGGUACAAAUAGAAGCGUCGUAAGGCGGCUAGGGUGAAGCCUUCCUUUCCUCACUUUUUACUCGCGAGCAUGUGGAUUCAUCUCCCCUAUGCUUGUGGCUUCGGUUGCCGGUGACAAAGAGGGGAAUCCUAGUGCAGCGGCUCCGACUUGUAGAUAAGUUAGGGUUUUAGUCCACUUAUGGAGGCGGUGCUCGGGCAGAUGGAAACCCUUCAUCGUUGAGUUUGUCUUUGAGGUUUCGGUCCUCCCAAGUCCGUCUGUCGCGACAUAUUGGACGUAAUUCCGGCGUAGUUUUCUGCCGGCUCAUCAGGAUGACAAGGUUAGGAUUUCUUGUCGUGCGUACGCGACGUCGAGGUUUGAUGUCAGAUUCUUCAUAUCGAUUUAAGGGUUGCGACUCCGGUUCGUUGAUCCUUAGGGGCACAUGUAUGAUGAUUUUCCAGUUGUCGUCAACAAGGUGAGAUGGCUCCCACAUGAGAGCGACGAAAGCGACGCAUCAACGGCCUGUUCUAGCUAUGACAAUGGUCAUCUGUCGUGCUUUGUACUUAUGGUGAACCUUUAUAAUAUAUUCGGUUCCUUCUAAAAAAACAGUGUUGUACAUAGCAUAUGCGCAAAAUAAUAAAGACAUGCAUGUUGUUCUCUAAUACUCCCUAUCAGAGGCGGAGGACGAAAAAAAAUUAAGGUGAGGCGAACUCUUAAGUGAAGGCCAAUACACACUACCAAUGCACAUUAAUAUUUUCAUGUGAUCCUCAACAGAAUAUACAUGCUCUUCUUCCAUGAAAUUCACUUGACCUUGAUGAGUGUCAUGUGUCGAAACAUUGACACAUUCAUAGGUGCUUGGAUUGGAGCUACUACCACUACCAAAUACUUCAAAAUAUAUUUUUCAAAUAUGUAGUUCACAACACUAAAUUGUCACUAAAAAUCUAAAAUCAUUACAAUUGUAUAUUACAAGCUAUUAAAAAAUGCUACUGAAAUUUAGAGAUAUACCCCUCCCCUUUGGCUUUGCUAGCCCCUCUUUCCUCUCAACUUUCAGUUGGGGACGACGCUACCCUGCACUGCGUUCUACUGGCUGUGAAGGAUGCCAAAUUGAGCGUUGGCUUUUAAAGCGCUAGAACAAGUCCACCGGAAGUUGUACAUGUACGUGUACGUGCAAAACUAGAAGAAGCAAGCAACCUAACAGCUCGAUUGAUCUUCCUUGCAACAGUGCACGCACGGUUAGGCAGAAGGACACGUAGGUACGUGAUCUGGUAGAGACUAGCUCGUAACUGAUCAGAUUGACUCGAUCUCAACGGAAAAACUCAUGGCGACUCACGAACUAAAAACUCGUGCCAGCUGAGAGAUGCACAUGCAUAGGUAUAAGAAAAUUUUACAAACGAUUCAAGGUAUGGCAGCCGCCAGCCCUUGCCCACUAGAGUCCUCCGCCAGUGCUCCCUAUGUUUUUCUUACUCCACAUAUUAGUUUUGGUCAAAGUCAAGUUUUGUAAACCUUGACAAAGUUUAUAGACAAAAAUAUUAACAUACACAAUAACAAAUUAAUACCAUUAGAUUCAUUAUUGCAAGUACUUUCACAUCAUAUAGAUUUGUUAUGAUAAAUGUUAGUAUUGUUUUUUUAUAAAGUUGGUCAAACUUUACAAAGUUUGACUUCAGCCAAAUCUAAUUUGCAGAGUAAAUAAAAAUGAAGGGAGUAUAAACAUAAAUUACAUAUUAUAUCUAUUAGUUUGAAGUUGAUUCUACAAUCACGACGUCAAAUGUCCUUUUUUUUCUAGUUGGACCACCCCAAAUGUCUUUAUCAUUUAUUCAUGACUAAACUUGGCUACAGGUUCCUUCUUAAUGGAGUUGUAUAUCGUGCAACUACAAAGGAAGUUAUCGAGUAAUCUCUUCAUCCUCUCAUCUUCAUGUCUACACCAGCAUAACUUGACAAUUAACGUACAUUUGUAGUUUCUAUCUCUAUGAUUUUUAUGGCACAUAUUUUAACAAAUUAAAAUGUGUGGAUGUGGUCAGGCCGCCGGCGGCGCAUAUGGGAAUCGUCUCCUUCUUGAAAGUGUCGGCGCGGUUAGUCCUUGCCCUUCGUGUGGCUCGGGGAAAAUCCCGAUCCUUGGAUCGGGCGGCGGCGGCACAUCGGUGUCGUGCCCUCCCCGAAGGCGCUACCUUGAAGUUCAUGGUUCAUCGUGCGCGGCUUCUUCUCUUCAUGAUGACUUGUUCACUUCUAAGGGCUUGUGUCAAUACUCGCUUUUCUACCUGCUGUUUAUAUUUGGAGUUGUAUGGGGUGGUGUAGCUGUUCUUCGGCAUCCUUAUAUCUUGUCAUGUGUGUGUUAUGGUGUCAAGUUAGCUAGGAGUAAGUUAGUACACUAGAGUACUAGUGGGAGUAUAGAUAGUUAAGUUGGCUACUAUGGCUGUCAACGUGGAAGUACAAUACUCUAUGUCUAAACCAGGUUUGUUAGUUUGCUCUGAAUAUUAAACUUUCCGUAUGAAUGUUUGAAAUGUAGUACCGCAGUGUACUAUUACAUUGCGAUUUAGUUAAAAACAGUCGUAUAGACCGAACGGGAUCAACGGACAUCGCGUGGUUUAAUUGUGUAUCGCCCUGCACGGCAUAAACCGAGCACUGGACCAAAUGAAAGACUGCUUUGUGGUGCUUGAAGGGAUCACUCUCGUGUGUACGCCUGCUCCUAUGAAUCAACGGAACUAGAUCGGUACCGCGCCUUGGCGCGAGGGUGCCGGUCCCAACUUUUUGCUCAAGCAAGUAAUGCUAAGUUAGUAGGAAUCCAGAUUUGGCAUAUGGAUUCAUAUAGGAUAAAAAUAUCUAUGUUGCUCAAUAUCGACACGAUACUAUAAGGCAGAAUCGAUUUCAAUACAUCCGUAAGAUUACAAAAGAUAGCCCUGGCGCAAGUUGCCCGUUAAAUCUAAAUCGAUGUAGUAUGCAAUCAAUGCAUGGUUCAAAGCCCAAAGCAAUGCACCAAAUAUUUAACCACAUGAAGUGUUAAGAAAGCAAGGUUGUUAAAGAUACUAACUUCAUAGGGAGAUAAUGCAACCUUUGUUGAUUACCCACUUGCAAGCAAGGUAAUGUGAUGUGCUGAAUACUGAAACCAUAUGUCUGUAGAAGUAUUGGACCACAACCUUCACAGUACCGCGAUCAUCACACGGAAUCUACCACAGGAAAACCGAACAUGGAUGCCAUCAUUCCCAACCUGGUAAUAACGCCAUCAGACCAAAAGAUGUUAGAAUAUCAGCAAACACCAAUCCAAUGAACAUUCUUUAUUAGAGUUAAAAAGUUCAAAGCAAGGUAUAGCCACAUCAAACCCGGAAGGACAUAUUUCAUACUCAAUAGUUUAGAAGAUAGAAAAAAAGCAAUGCUCAUCAUUAUAGAUACGAACAAUAGUUCCAUAAAAUAUUACUACCACCUGUUGACUUUUUCCACAUAAAAUGAUGUCUCAAUAUAGAACUUAGCAGAAAGGUUUCCCCAUAACUUGACUUUGAUUUCAUAUGAGGAGAGGCAGCAUGUGUGCAUUGAACAUUCUGAUCUCUUGGUUAUAUAGUGGCUAUAACCAAGAGAUCAGAAUGUUCAAUGCACACAUGGUGCCCAAACCAUAUACAAAGACAGGCAGUAGUAGAAACCUGAUAUCACAAAUGAUAAUAUCCUUUAUAGGUACAAAUUGCUUCCAUGUUUAUGGCUGAAACAUGUGUACAUCAGAAACUUUAACUACAAUAUGGUAGAUAUCUACAGGACCAAGCAAGAAAUCAGAAAUAGAACAGCGGGCGUCUUAAGUAAAGCAAGCACCACCCGAUUACAUAUAAGUUUGUAUUCAUCCUCAGCACUGUCCAGGCUGAAGAGGGUACAUAGGGUCACAUACAGUCUGCAACAUCUGCUUGUCCUUCGAUAGCAUAACAACAUUAACUAAACACGUGGGUCAAACACAUAAAUAAACAUAUGCCGGACAAUAGGGCGCAAUAGAAUCGGAGCUAGCAGAGACACAGGAAACUGCGUUAGAACAUCCGAAGAGACACUCCCAUAGCCAGACAUCAUUACUUCGUGCAUCCACAAACAAAAGGAUAGGGUCCU